rnacentral:rRNA from 1 species
UUCCGUUAGGGGUGACCUGCGGAAGGAUCAUUACUGAUUUGCUUAAUUGCACCACAUGUGUUUUUUAUUGAACAAAUUUCUUUGGUGGCGGGAGCAAUCCUACCGCCAGAGGUUAUAACUAAACCAAACUUUUUAUUUACAGUCAAACUUGAUUUAUUAUUACAAUAGUCAAAACUUUCAACAACGGAUCUCUUGGUUCUCGCAUCGAUGAAGAACGCAGCGAAAUGCGAUACGUAAUAUGAAUUGCAGAUAUUCGUGAAUCAUCGAAUCUUUGAACGCACAUUGCGCCCUUUGGUAUUCCAAAGGGCAUGCCUGUUUGAGCGUCAUUUCUCCCUCAAACCCCCGGGUUUGGUGUUGAGCAAUACGCUAGGUUUGUUUGAAAGAAUUUAACGUGGAAACUUAUUUUAAGCGACUUAGGUUUAUCCAAAAACGCUUAUUUUGCUAGUGGCCACCACAAUUUAUUUCAUAACUUUGACCUCAAAUCAG